UACGUAGGGCGCAAGCGUUGUCCGGAAUUAUUGGGCGUAAAGAGCUCGUAGGCGGCUUGUCACGUCGGGUGUGAAAGACCGGGGCUUAACCCCGGUUCUGCAUUCGAUACGGGCUGGCUAGAGUGUGGUAGGGGAGAUCGGAAUUCCUGGUGUAGCGGUGAAAUGCGCAGAUAUCAGGAGGAACACCGGUGGCGAAGGCGGAUCUCUGGGCCAUUACUGACGCUGAGGAGCGAAAGCGUGGGGAGCAAACAGG
rnacentral:rRNA from 1 species